GCCUGGCCGAGGCUUUUCCCUUUCAUGGCUUCAGUUUUCCCAUGUAUAAAUUAGGGUCUUAGAUAGAACAAUCUUCCAGAGCCCAUCUACUCCUAUCAUCUCCAGCAAGACUCCUCCCAGCUGCAGAGCCCACUGGGAAACUGUCCUAGGGAUUCCAGACCAGUCAGGUACAGGCUUGCCCACUGAGCCAUCCUGUGGCCCUGGGCACCUCCUAGCUAGGGAACCGUUCCAGAGCUGCACCAUCAGUGCCAGCAGGGGCCAAGGGUGUGGGCUCUCCCAGUGACAGGGUGUGGGUUCCAUACCUGAAGCAGCUUCCGGCGCCUAAUGACCUCAUUGCACAGAGGAGGAGUCCAUCAGGGACCACCCAAACUUCCCACUCGGAAAUGCAGGAUGCCGGAGCUGGGAGGUGGAGCCAGCGUUUCCCUGCCCAGGUUGACGACAUAAAAAGCCCAUUGUAACUCUUCAAGAGGCUGAUGUUUGGCUCGAGCGUACGAGGUACUUCUUUUCACUGAUGAUACUACCCGACACAGUCUGCUAGUUGCCAUAUUUUGUCAUGUAAGACAGGCUUUUUCUGCAAAGGGCCAGGAAGUAAAUAUUUUCAAUGGUCUCUGUCCCAACUGCUCAUAAAUACAUGGGCAAGGCUGUGAUCCAGUAACAUUUUAUUUAUGGACACUGCAGUUUGAAUUUUGUAUAAAUUUCACAUCGUGAAACAUUCUUCUGAUUUUUUUCAACCAUUUAAAAGUGUACAAACAUUCUUGGUUGGUGGGCUGGAUUUGGCCUGUGGGCUGUAGUUUGCCAAGAGAAAGCUGGACAGGAAUUAAGGAAGGAAGGGUAGGCAGGGGCAGACUUUUCCAGAAUUAGAGCUGUA
rnacentral:lncRNA from 1 species